UCUCAUACCGCGGCUCGGAAGGUUAGUUCACCUCUGUCUGCAGGCUCAGUUUUACAGGUAGCGAGACAGAGGUCCAGAAAGGGGAAGGUAUUUCCCCAGAACCACGAGGGUGACUUUAGUUUUAAGCGCCAACCUGAAGAUGCCUUUGAAUAUGCAUCCUUUUGUAUGUUACCUACACAGUUCGUGUGGUAUUAUUUUUCACGCUCCAGUUAUUUUUGUGAUAACUUUCAACUGGUACAAGUGAACUCUUUAUCAUGUUGCUUCUAGAGGUCCGACAUACCUAGAACGUGUCAAGGAUUUAUCUGCUGUAAAUAACCUCUUAAUCAGAAAGGGGAAGAGCGCAGGGUGGUUGUGAGACUCAAAAGGCAUGCAUCAAAAAGAGCAUUUGUAAACUCCAAAGCCACGGAGGGUUAUAUGACGGUCAGUGUUAUCUUUAUGAUGGAUCGGCUCUCACCCAGAAACCUGGGAUAUGUCUACCUAUUGGGAAUCUUAAUAAGAAGUAGUCCAGAAAGUGGUGACAUGGGACAGUCUCUCAGCCAGACAGCCAUCUAUAAGCAUCCCUGCCUUGUUUAAAACCUACAGUGAUUCUCUACAUAAUCCGUCAAUCCAGGUAUCUCGUAAUAGCUUUCAAGAACCUCCAAGAUAUGGCAAUAAAAAGAGCAGAGCUCAGGGUUUGAGUUUAUCACUAAUAGCUUUGAGCCUUAGCUUCUUUAUUUGUAAUAUCGGAAUAAUAAUAUCCACCAUGCCAAACUCACCGGACUGCGUGAGGGUGAACAAAUGAGGCAUCAGAAAGCACUUUGCAAACCACCAGUGCAAAGUUGCUGUGCAAAUGUGGUUAUUUUCAUGGUGGUGCUCUGAUUCAGCCAACCUUAUUUCAUGACACCCUUCACACUGCUCUUCAGCUGGACCACAGCAUGCUGGGAUCACUCCCAUCUCUGAGCUGGGGCUCAGGCCAGUCCCCCAGAGAGCAGAUUCGGAGGCCAGGCUGCCCGGGGUCUGGAUGAUAACAGUACCUGCUCUCGAGGCAGUAGUAAGGACUAAAUGGGCUCCUGGCAUAAAGCCCUUGGAAUGGCGCCUUGCACGUCACGUCACUUGUGACACUCUAGUAGCAUGUGCUUUUCUUAUCCUACCGUGUCUUUCAGUUCUAGUCCAUGUCCUCUCCCAUCUAUGAAGUCUUCUUGCUUAGCUUUCUCCUACCUACAAAAUGUACCUAGAGCUUCUGUCACACAGGUUAACUGUUUAUUAUUCAUGAGGUGAUUGUCCUACUUGGUUAGAUGCAUGAAUUCAACAUAUAAUGAGCACCUGCUGUUACCAGGUUCUUUGCUAGACCAGGAGAAUAAAUAGAUACAAGACACGGAGUCCUCUCAUGAGGGGUGUGUGGCUGGGGGGAGAUGAUCAUUUCCCAUCUGUGAACAGGUGACCGAGCAGACAGUUACAAUGGGAGGUGCUAUAGACUGAAUGUUGGUGUUCCCCCCCUCAGCCCCCAUGCCAAAUUCAUAUGUUAAAUCCUAAUCUCCACUGCGGUGGUGCUUGGAGGUGGGGCCUUCAGAAGGUGAUUAGGUCCUGAGGGUGGGAUCCAGAGUUGGGCACCUGUUGACUUUUCUCCUUAGAAAAAGCCCCUCUCCUAUUUCCAUGAGUUGUCUCAUCUCCAAUAGCUUUCCCCAGCUUUCAUGUUUCUGUGCUCUUGUUUUUCACUUUUUCUCUCCCUUCCCUCCUACCUUUGCUCCUAAGACUUCACUCUUGGAACUCUGUGGAAUUUCCCUCCAGUUUUCCAAUAGAGAUCUGCUCCUCCUGUGUUCUCUCUCCCCAGCAUUUACGAAAGCGCCUUCGGACUUCAUGACGCAUCCCCUGAUGCCUCCAAGCCACUGGGCCCAGGUCAGAAGAGGGGUGUCCCUUUUCAGUACAUGCUCCUCUUUCACCUUCAACACAAGUCCUAACAUACCACGUUCAGGAAGACUUAAAAGAACAAAACCAUUGCAUGGUCUAUGGGUUAGCAAGUGGUUCACUGAGGGCAGCCUUUAUGGCCGUCAUGCCCAUGCUACGGGUGGGAAAACCCACGCUCAGAAAGAUAAAUAGCAUGCCUGGUAUUACAUAUCUUGUCUUCUGCUCUUUACCCUCUGAGUAGCCAGGGGGCCCCUUUAAAGCUUACCUUUCAGCUCACUUCCCGUGGAGUUUUCUGACCUCAUCCCCAAGUCUCAGUCCUCAGGCCGGCUUCCUUCAAGCUGAAGGAUUCCCAGGCAGGCCACUCCGCCGAGGCAUAGGCACAGGUGUGCAUUUUCAGGAGGACCUUCACAGCCUAACACAAGGAAUCGAGCAAUGGGCCGUUUUAGGCACUUGGCUCCCUUUACAUGGUGGUGGCGGGAACAGUAGUGGGAGGUGAGGCAAGCACAUCCAUCAGAGGCAGCCUUUUAGGGGCAUUUCAACUCCAAUCGAGGGGAAAGUGGUGGAAAUUAUUAGGUCUACCACUAGAGGGCAGAUUAGUCAAAUUUUGGAAUGUUUGCUGGCAAUUGGGAAGCCUUGUGAAUUUUUUUGUUUUCAUAUCCCUUCCACCCUAUGCCCCCCAUUAGACAAGAGACUAGAGACCAGGGUCACCCGAAAUAGAAAAAUUAAAGGCGUUUCCAUUGCUAUAGAUAAGUGUAGGUGCUCCUCAUCUUUGCUCAGUGUAUACAGUGUACUAGGCCUGCCCUAAGGAAGCAAACCGGGAGCAUGGUACUAACAGCCUAGUAUCCAGUGCCUGUUAUGUGCCAGGCAGCAUGCUAGGCCAUUUACCUACAUAACCUUCUUUGAUCCUCAUAACUGCCUUCUGAGGCAAAUUUUUAAAAUCAUUACUCUGCAGGUGAUGACAAGCUUGUUAAGGUUGAAUAUAUUGCUCAAAUGCAAGUAGCUAAUAAGUGGCAGCUGCGAGACUUGUUUUUGCUUUUGCUUUCUUUUUAGGGUUGCACCUG